UACGGGGGGGGCAAGCGUUGUUCGGAAUUACUGGGCGUAAAGGGCUCGUAGGCGGCCAACUAAGUCAGACGUGAAAUCCCUCGGCUUAACCGGGGAACUGCAUCUGAUACUGGAUGGCUUGAGUUCGGGAGAGGGAUGCGGAAUUCCAGGUGUAGCGGUGAAAUGCGUAGAUAUCUGGAGGAACACCUGUGGCGAAAGCGGCGCACUGGACCAUAACUGACGCUGAUGCGCGAAAGCUAGGGGAACAAACAGG
rnacentral:rRNA from 1 species